rnacentral:lncRNA from 10 species
UGGUUGGCCAGCUCCUCACUACUUGUGCCAGAAACACCUCCAUGACAUUUAGGGAAAAAGACAGGAGGAGUCACAGGAGAGAAGAUGAGAUGAGAGGCAGGGAUGUUCCCUGGGUGGGCUCCUUCCUGAUCAUCUAAGUUGGGUGUGGGGAGGAUGGUUGCCUCCCCACAAAGGACCUUAGGCAGCCAAGUGUAUGGGACAGGGCAGUGGCCUCUCCCUUCAUGCCAGACCAGGGAUGCCUUGGCCUGUGCAGUCUGUAAGGAGCCCAACCCCGCCAGUUUCCCACACCCCAUACCCAUUCUCCUCAGCUCAAGCCUCCUCCUUCCCUACCUAGGUCCUCCCAGUCUCCUACUCAGUUAACUCCAGAGCACCAGGGGCCAACUGGCAUCGCAUCUCCUUGUCCAGCACUUGGGGAUCGACUUCCUGAUUCUGUCUCACAAUUUCCCGAGUCACUAGAUGAAAAUCCUGAUAAUUCACAGCCCGGAAGGAACACUACCUUAUUUAGAUGUGCUGCCCCCAGAGGAGGGGGAAAGAAGGAGGAGGAGGGGGAUUUAGAAGCAGGUAGAGUAAAAGGAGAAGAUAGAAGGCACCGGUGAUUCUGAGAAUUCAAGGACCCUGGCUUGUAGCUGUGUGGACCCCAUACUCUCUUCCUAUCCCAAACCUUCCUAUUCCACCAGGGUGCCCUUCUACAAGGGCCAGGACCUCCUCCAGGCCACAGCAGUCACCUGGAUGAUGAGGGCUCCAGGAGGCACCCUCAACCCUGGAAUUCUCUUUUUCAAAUAAGAGAUCCAGGUGAGAACCGUGAGGAUGGGCACUUGGACAGGAAGAGGUUGCUUUGGCCCGAGCAGCAACAACGUUGGUCACUCAAGCCUUCACCAGGUUCUGCUCCACACAGAAGGAAGGAAAGCCCAUCUCAUCAGGCCUUGGGCACCAACAACACAAAUAGUUCCUUGCUAGCAAUACAUUUUCCGAUAUGUUUUUGCUUCUUCCUCUAACGUUUAACCUUGGGUAUAUUUCAAAAGAAACGCAAGUCUGCUUGCUUCUGAUUCAUACUCACUGAGAUCAUCAAAACCAGAAUUAUUUGGUAAUAGCUGCUGGGUUUACUGGAUGCCCUCUGGGAUCUGUAAAAUCUCUAUUCCUCAGAAACAGGAAGUUUCAACAAGAGGAAGGAGGCUGGUUGCAAAAAUCAAAAUUUGAAUCUUCUCCACCUAUUGGAGAGCCCAGCGUUCAUGGCACUUCCUUCAGCCAGUUAACAAAUGUGGAUUCGGUGCCUACUGUGUGCAGGAACUGGGGACAGAGAUGAUUUUUUAAGGGGCUCUGAAUGAGUUUGCUGAGGCUGUCAGAAGAGAAUACUGUACAUCAGGUGGCUUCAACAACAGAAAUUUAUACUUGCACAAUUCUGGAGGCUGGAAGACUGACAGGGGCCAGCAGGGGUCCUUUCUUUUAAGUCCUCUCUCUUUGGCUUGGAGAUGGCUGCCAUCUUGCUGUGUCUGCCCAUGGUCUUCCCCCUGUGUCUGUUUGGUUCUAAUCACUUCUUGUAAGGACACCAGUUACAUUUAAUUUAGUCCCCCCCAAUGACAUCAUGUUAACUUAAUUACCUCUUUAAAGACCCUGUCUCCAAAUACAGUUGCAUUCUGAGGUUCUGGGGGGUUAGGACUUCAACAUAUACAUUUGGAGGAGUGGGGCGCACAAUACAGCUCAAUGUAGCCUCUGAUCUCAAGUCAUUUUCCCAUGUCAGGCUUUCUCUUUGGUCACCAUCUGAGGUUAGCGUCUGCAGUGAGGUGGUCGAGGUGCCUGUUCUGGGCUGUUGCAGGUUUUCUAAGGCAGGAUGAUUUGGUGAAAUGGCCACCACACCAUCAGAUCUGAACUCUUGUUCUGCCCCCUUCACUAGCUGGGUGGUAUAGCCUGAGUUAUGUAACCUCCAAAGCCUCAGUUUCCUCAUCAAUAUACUGAGAAUAAUCAUUUCUGCCUCGAAAUGGGAGUUAUUUUCCCAGGUGUGUUUCCUGCAGGGUUUCCUCCUCCAGUGAACCAAGGAUGUCUUCUCAUGGCUCUAUGGGAAGAAGUGGGCUGGGAAACGCAAGAAAGGAAGACACAGGGUUAGAGGUCAGGUCCCUCAGCCAAUCCAUAGCCAAAAUGCCUGACUGCUAGUACUUAACUCCUUAGGCUUGGGCCUCUUGGGAGCUGAUGCUUGGUCAACUCCCACUGUCUGGGCAGACCCACCCACAGACUCUCCAUCCUACCGGGGUUCCCCUGGCUCUCUCCCCUGUGACUUCCUUGGAAAAGGUUCUCCUCUGAAGGCAGCCAGCUCUCCUGGGUCAAGUCCCAGGCUAGGAGGAGGGGAAAGUGACCUGGAACUGAGCAUCCCCCAGGAGUACCCACGGCCAGGACCUCUGUAAGAGUGUGGUCUAGGAAGGCAAGGGACAAUUGUUGGGUCCAGGCUGAGCCCACUUGCUGAAAGAUGAUCUUGGAUAGAAAACAAGUCGAAAGGCUAACAGAGCCCUCUGUUUAGAGGAAGCCCUCACAGUUCAGGGAUGUAGGGGCUGGACUAGUCAUUAAGGGACCUGGGUUCAAAUCCCAGCUCCAAUAGUUGCCUGUGAUAGGACACUAGCAGCUUACAUGACUGCCCUGAGCUUCAGUUCCUUGGCUAUAAAAUGG